rnacentral:rRNA from 1 species
ACGCUCGACACCUACGGGGGGCAGCAGUGGGGAAUAUUGGGCAAUGGGCGCAAGCCUGACCCAGCAAUGCCGCGUGAAGGAAGAAGGCUUUCGGGUUGUAAACUUCUUUUGUCAGGGAAGAGUAGAAGACGGUACCUGACGAAUAAGCCACGGCUAACUACGUGGCAGCAGCCGCGGUAAUCUGAGCGGGCUGGCAAGGC